rnacentral:rRNA from 1 species
UACAGAGGUCUCAAGCGUUGUUCGGAUUCAUUGGGCGUAAAGGGUGCGUAGGCGGCGCGGUAAGUCGGGUGUGAAAUCUCGGAGCUUAACUCCGAAACUGCAUUCGAUACUACCGUGCUUGAGGACUGGAGAGGAGACUGGAAUUUACGGUGUAGCGGUGAAAUGCGUAGAUAUCGUAAGGAAGACCAGUGGCGAAGGCGGGUCUCUGGACAGUUCCUGACGCUGAGGCACGAAGGCCAGGGGAGCGAACGGG